AAGGUAGCAUAAUCAUUUGUUCUUUAAUUAAGAACUAGAAUGAAGAGUUGUCAAUGUUUAAGCUUUUCCCCCUUUUUAAUAGAAAUUAAUAUUUAUGUCAAAAAGCAUAACUUUUUAGAAAGACGAGAAGACCCUGUGAAACUUUACUGGAGUAAUUAAUAUUUUAUAUAGAAUUUUUAUUUUAAUUUCUAGUUAAGCUGGGGCGGCAUCUAUACCUCUAAAGAAAAUUUAACAUGAUUUAUGAAUUUUUAGAUCUUGAAUUUCAAAAGAUAGAACAAGUUACUUUAGGGAUAACAGCAUAAUUUUUUCAUAUAGACCCUAUAGAAGGAAAAGAAUUAUGACCUCGAUGUUGAAUUGAGGGGCCUAAUUUAAGCAAAAAUAAAUUUAGGGAGUCUGUUCGACUUUUAAAACCUC
rnacentral:rRNA from 1 species